rnacentral:rRNA from 1 species
CCCUUAGAUGUUCUGGGCUGCACGCGCGCUACACUGAAGCGUUCAACGAGUAUUCACCUUGCCCGGGAGGGUUGGGUAAUCUUUUGAAAACGCUUCGUGAUGGGGAUAGAUUAUUGCAAUUAUUAAUCUUCAACGAGGAAUGCCUAGUAAGCGCAAGUCAUCAGCUUGCGUUGAUUACGUCCCUGCCUUUGUACACACCGCCCGUCGCUCCUACCGAUUGAAUGGUCCGGUGAAGCGUUCGGACCGUGGCCUUUGGACGGUUCGCCGUCUGUUGGCUGCGGGAAGUUCGUUAAACCUUAUCAUUUAGAGAAAGGAGAAGUCGUAACA